rnacentral:misc_RNA from 1 species
GAUGAAGAACGUAUCGAAAUGCGAUAAGUAGUGUGAAUUGCAGAAUUCAGUGAAUCAUCGAAUCUUUGAACGCACAUUGCGCCCCUUGGUAUUCCAUGGGGCAUGCCUGUUCGAGCGUCAUUUGUACCCUCAAGCACUGCUUGGUGUUGGGUGUUUGUCCCGCUUUGCGCGUGGACUCGCCUUAAAGCAAUUGGCAGCCGGCAGAUUGGCCUGGAUCGCGAGCACAUUUUGCGACCUUGUCAUAACUGUUUGGCACCCAUCAAGACUAUUUUUUGCUCUUGACCUCGGAUCAGGUAGGGAUACCCGCUGAACUUAAGCAUAUCAAUACGGAGGA